GCGCUCUUGGUUCAGUUUGAUAGGACGUGAGUUUCUAAAACUUAAUGUCGUAGGUUCAAAUCCUAUAAAGUGUG
rfam:Gossypium arboreum cultivar AKA8401 contig_36356_3, whole genome shotgun sequence.